CGCACAUUGCGCCCCUCGGUAUUCCGGGGGGCAUGCCUGUCCGAGCGUCAUCACACCCUUCGAGCGCGAGCUUGGUGAUGGGCCUUCGCCCCCCGGGGCGGGCCCGAAAAGCAGCGGCGGUCCGGCGAGGAUUCAAGCGCAGUAAUAGUUUCCCGCUUCGGAAGAAUCGUCCGGGCCAGCCUAUUUUUAUAACCUCCUACGAAUCGACCUCGGAUCAGGUAGGGAUACCCGCUGAACUUAA
rnacentral:misc_RNA from 1 species